rnacentral:rRNA from 1 species
UACGUAGGAGGCAAGCGUUGUCCGGAAUUACUGGGCGUAAAGCGCGUGUAGGUGGUGGGACAAGUCUGCUGUGAAAGCGCCUGGCUUAACCGGGCGAGGUCGGCGGGAACUGUCCGACUAGAGGACGGUAGAGGGGGGUGGAAUUCCCGGUGUAGUGGUGAAAUGCGUAGAGAUCGGGAGGAACACCGAUGGCGAAGGCAGGUCUCUGGGCUGACACUGACGCUCAUGCACGAAAGCGUGGGGAGCAAACAGG